rnacentral:rRNA from 1 species
CCGCGGUAACACGUAGGGGGCAAGCGUUGUCCGGAUUUAUUGGGCGUAAAGGGCUCGUAGGCUGUUCAGUAAGUCAGGUGUGAAAACUCGAGGCUCAACCUCGAGACGCCACUUGAUACUGCUGUGACUAGAGUUCGGUAGAGGAGUGUGGAAUUCCUAGUGUAGCGGUGAAAUGCGCAGAUAUUAGGAGGAACACCAACAGCGAAGGCAGCACUCUGGGCCGAUACUGACGCUGAGGAGCGAAAGCGUGGGGAGCGAACAGG